UACGAAGGGGGCUAGCGUUGCUCGGAAUUACUGGGCGUAAAGGGAGCGUAGGCGGACAGUUUAGUCAGAGGUGAAAGCCCCAGGGCUCAACCUUGGAAUUGCCUUUGAUACUGAUUGUCUUGAGUAUGGGAGAGGUUAGCGGAACUCCGAGUGUAGAGGUGAAAUUCGUAGAUAUUCGCAAGAACACCAGUGGCGAAGGCGGCUCACUGGCCCGAUACUGACGCUGGGGCACGAAAGCGUGGGGAGCAAACCAGG
rnacentral:rRNA from 1 species